GAUGAACGCUGGCGGCGUGCCUAAUACAUGCAAGUCGAGCGAACAGACGAGGAGCUUGCUCCUCUGACGUUAGCGGCGGACGGGUGAGUAACACGUGGAUAACCUACCUAUAAGACUGGGAUAACUUCGGGAAACCGGAGCUAAUACCGGAUAAUAUAUUGAACCGCAUGGUUCAAUAGUGAAAGACGGUUUUGCUGUCACUUAUAGAUGGAUCCGCGCCGCAUUAGCUAGUUGGUAAGGUAACGGCUUACCAAGGCAACGAUGCGUAGCCGACCUGAGAGGGUGAACGGCCACACUGGAACUGAGACACGGUCCAGACUCCUACGGGAGGCAGCAGUAGGGAAUCUUCCGCAAUGGGCGAAAGCCUGACGGAGCAACGCCGCGUGAGUGAUGAAGGUCUUCGGAUCGUAAAACUCUUUUAUUAGGGAAGAACAAAUGUGUAAGUAACUAUGCACGUCUUGACGGUACCUAAUCAGAAAGCCACGGCUAACUACGUG
rnacentral:rRNA from 1 species